rnacentral:rRNA from 1 species
UACAGAGGUCCCGAGCGUUGUUCGGAUUCACUGGGCGUAAAGGGUGCGUAGGUGGUGAGGUAAGUCGGAUGUGAAAUCUCCGGGCUCAACCCGGAAACUGCAUUGGAAACUACCUUGCUUGAGGGUUUGAGGGGGGACUGGAAUUCUCGGUGUAGCAGUGAAAUGCGUAGAUAUCGAGAGGAACACCAGUGGCGAAGGCGAGUCCCUGGAAAACACCUGACACUGAGGCACGAAAGCUAGGGGAGCAAACAGGAUUAG